GUAGGCAAUAUAUAAAUGUCAACAUGUGGUCUGAGUGUAUAAACUCCAGCUAUUUCCAGAGCUGCUCAAGAGUUCAGUGCAGUUGCCAGGUCAACACUUGGUGUUAGUAUUGUUUGAAGUGUUCUACAGUAUACAAGGACUGGGAGAUCAUGGGAUAAAUCAGACCUCAAGAAGUCUCUGUUCCAACUUUCUCUUUAUCUAUGAGGUCAUAGAGUCAUCUACAGGGUGGGGAGCUUUUAGGUUUCUCUGGGUUAUUUUUCUCACUGAGUUUUGAAAAACUCCACAAAUGGAGACUACACCACCUGCCAGUAACUUGUCUCACUGUUGGCUGUCCUGAUUAGAGAGGAAAAUUUUAUUGAUAACCCAUCUGAACCUUGCUCCCAUUCAGCUGGCCCACACAACAUAGGAACUGUAGGAAAACCAUGUUCUCAAGAACACCUGACCAUGAAUAACUGACUCUUUUAUGGAUGUUGUUUGCUGCUGGAAAAAACUUGCUAAUUGGAAAACUGCUGCACAUUAAGUCCUUCCUAAGCAGAUUGAUCAGGGAGGUGUCACCUCAUACUUUGCCACGGACUCUAACACAGACAUGUUGAGAUUCUUUGAAAAUAUUCAUCCUUAUGGACAAAAAAUGUCAUUCUUCGUGAAAGAAAUGGAAAGAAAAUACGAAGGGGACGUCACAGGGGCAAAAUCAUCCACUGGAUUUUUUGAACCCAGCUGUAAUCCAAGAAGAAAUUGCACAGAAAAAACAAGUAUUCAUUUACAUUAGAAAAAAAAAAAAAAGACCGUUUUAAAAUCCAAAAUCAAGUUGCAAGGAUCAGACUGAAGCACAUCUCUCCUCAAAGGGCACUGAUGGAAGUUGAUCUCAAGAUUUGAACAAAUACUAAAGGAAAGGCUUAGAAAACAAGUGAUGAUAAAGGCACAGUUUGGGAAUAUCAGUAGAGCAAACAUGCUGUCUGCUGCUUUUGAUGGUUGCAAGCACAACUUCAGUGUUUGCAGUAAACUAGUGACAAUUUCAGGUAUGAAUUCAGAAGCAUAGAAUCAAUUCCUUGCUAUAUUUCUAUGCUAGUUAUAUCACCUGAAGCAAUAAUUAAUCCAUCAAAAUUCAUUAUUUUCCCCCUAAAUCUCUGUUAGUUAAUUAUGGUUUACAAUAUAGCACACACUCAUCCAUAACAAUAACCCUUUAUAUAAUAACCCUUACAAACAAAACAAAGAUAACUAUGUGAAUCUUCUCUUGGGUAAGAGUAAAGCCCACAUCAUCAGAUCUCUUAAAAGUUUUAUGACUAGUUCAAGAUGUGAAUGCUCAAAUCAAAAUAUCUUGCCAUGAUUUAAUGUUCUGAGUUUAGAUGCUCCUUGGUUUAUGAAGAUUUCUUGGUUGCUAUUUGAUUACUCUGAAAUUAAAACAUACGAGUUAGUGGAUGACUUCUAGUAUCUAAACAAUAAAACCUUGAACAAUUAUAAAUCUUAAUAGCAGGAUUUUAGUACCCACUGUAAACAGUGAAUCUACAAAAAAUGAGGGGUUUUAUUUGCUCUCCUCUACUUAUUAUGCUUCUCUCACUGUCAGGUUUGAUUUUCUCAUCAUACAAAUGGAAAACAAGCUUUCCCUCACAGCCACUCACUCAGAGCCACUUUGGUUUCUGACAGGGGGUCUUUCUUUCUGACACAACACCAGUGACAACAGAGGUUGUGUUAGCCAAACUGUGACCUAAUCUCCCUUUCAA